rnacentral:rRNA from 1 species
UGCCAGCAGCCGCGGUAAUACGGAGGGACCAAGCGUUGUUCGGAAUCACUGGGCGUAAAGCGCGUGUAGGCGGUCUGGUCAGUCGGAUGUGAAAUCCCGAGGCUCAACCUCGGAACUGCAUCCGAUACUGCCAGGCUAGAGUCCCGGAGAGGGUGGCGGAAUUUCCGGUGUAGAGGUGAAAUUCGUAGAUAUCGGAAGGAACACCAGUGGCGAAGGCGGCCACCUGGACGGUGACUGACGCUGAGACGCGAAAGCGUGGGGAGCAAACAGGAUUAGAUA